AUGCUUAAAUUUAGGGGGUAGUCUAGCCUGAUCUGAGGUCGGAU
rnacentral:rRNA from 1 species